rnacentral:rRNA from 1 species
UACGAAGGGUGCAAACGUUGCUCGGAAUCAUUGGGCGUAAAGCGCACGUAGGCGGCUUCGCAAGUCGGAUGUGAAAUCCCUCGGCUCAACCGAGGACGUGCAUACGAAACUGCGGAGCUUGAGUGCUGAAGAGGAUCGCGGAAUUCCCGGUGUAGAGGUGAAAUUCGUAGAUAUCGGGAGGAACACCAGUGGCGAAGGCGGCGAUCUGGGCAGACACUGACGCUGAGGUGCGAAAGCGUGGGGAGCGAACAGG